GAUGAACGCUGGCGGCGUGCCUAAUACAUGCAAGUCGAGCGAACGGACGAGAAGCUUGCUUCUCUGAUGUUAGCGGCGGACGGGUGAGUAACACGUGGAUAACCUACCUAUAAGACUGGGAUAACUUCGGGAAACCGUAGCUAAUACCGGAUAAUAUUUUGAACCGCAUGGUUCAAAAGUGAAAGACGGUCUUGCUGUCACUUAUAGAUGGAUCCGCGCUGCAUUAGCUAGUUGGUAAGGUAACGGCUUACCAAGGCAACGAUGCAUAGCCGACCUGAGAGGGGGAGGGGCCACACGGGACCGGAGACAGGGCCAGGCCUCCUCGGGGGGGAAGAGGGGGGAAUUCUCCGGAAAGGGGCGAAACCCGGACGGAGCAACCCGGCGGGAGGGAUGAAGUUGUGGGGACUGAAAAACUCUUUUUUGGGGAAAAAACAUGUGUGUAAGUACUUGUGCAAGUCUGGCGGGUACAUAAUAAGAAAGCCACGGAAAACUAGGUG
rnacentral:rRNA from 1 species